AACCUUAUGGACCUGCGGGCGUAUACCUGCGGAGGGAUCAUUACCGAGUUUACAACUCCCAAACCCCUGUGAACAUACCUAUACGUUGCCUCGGCGGAUCAGCCCGCGCCCCGUAAAAAGGGACGGCCCGCCCGAGGACCCCUAAACUCUGUUUUUAGUGGAACUUCUGAGUAAAACAAACAAAUAAAUCAAAACUUUUAACAACGGAUCU
rnacentral:misc_RNA from 1 species